GUGUGCACAGAGGCUCAGGAAAAUGUCGCUGAGAAAAGAACGAUGGGGUCAGGACCCGAAGGAGGUGAAGGAGCUGGCUGUGUGGAUGUGGCUUCAGGCAGAGGAAGUAGCCAUGCAAAGGCCCUAAAGCAGGACCGUGGAGAAUGUGUCUGAGAGACAGUAAGGGCCAGUGCGGCGCAGAAGAUGAGGAGGCGAGGUUGGGGAGGGAACAAGAAGAGGAGGACUCUUACUCCGCGAGCAGGGAAGUGGCGGGAUCUGGUCUGGGCUCAGUAGGGGACUUUGGACACUGUGUGUCUAAUAGAUGAUACCGCGGCAUAGGCAGGAGACACACAGGGGCGGCCCAGCGCCCAGGAGCGCGAGGGUGGGGAGAAGGCGGCGAAGGCUGGAGGGAAGAGGGCCGAGUGAUCCGCUUUGGAAGGUGCGCGCACGCGCGCGCGCACACACACACACACACACAAAUACACACACACGCUGAGCCUGGGGCCCACCCUUAGUUACCACCCCCAACAGAAACGUGGUCCCCAGGAGAUCAGACGGCGCACAAAGGUCAGAGCAGUGCCAGGCUAGGCUGAGGGAGAGGCAGUGUGAACUCGCCGUGUUGUCCCCGAAAGAGUCUCACUGAGGGCUCCAUCCCCAAGGCGCAGCCCUCAGAAUGGGGCCGGGAGAGGUGACGGGGCCAGGAGGAUGCGCUGGCCUCAUCUGUGCUCCAUGAAUUCAAGGUUCAACGGACUCUGGGAGGUGCAGCCCAGUCGGAGGAAGGAGCUCACAGCGGGGUGGGGCCCUAGGUUGUGUCCUGUCCCCAGCCUCUUCCCUUCUCCAUGGCUCUUUCCGCUCCUGCUGUUUGCUGGCUGCUUCCUCCCUCACACCCUUCCUUUGUGACGUCUCUCCUCUGAGUCAGCUGACCACGGACCAAAGGCUCCACAACCAUGGGCCUCUCCUUGAGGCCGUGUAUAUCGGGUGCUUUGUCCCAGCGCCAGAAAGCUGGCCGAUCGAUACAGUCUACUUUACUCCUGCCCCAAGAACAGGCCUGUGCCUCUGCACUUCUCCAACCUCUUAUUGACACCAACAUCAUCAGCAUGUUGCCACUGACACGGGACCAAAUCCGUCACCACACUCAUCAACGUCGCCUCCGUGAGCUCCCCAGCACCACCAUCACGACCACCGCCAAUGCGGCGUCUCCACCGGCACCACCGUCUUAGUUACUCUUCUCUCACUGCUCAGACGAAACACCCGACACCCAAAGUUAAAGGAGGAAAGGUUUAUUAGACUUAGGCACAUCCCUUUAUGCUAAAGGCAUUUAGUCCCUCUCCGAGCGUUGUCAAAGUCCUAACAGUUUCAGCAUUGCUGAAAAAUCCAAGUCCAAAAUCUCCUCUAAGGCAGACUCCUAGCUGUUAGCCCCUGUACAGAUGAAAAGAAAAUUCAACACUUUCAACUUUUAAUGGCAUGAGAUAAGACAUUUUUCUUCAAAAGUUACAAUCAGGAGGAUAGAAACGGAUGGGAACAAAGCAAGACCCAAAGCUAGCAGGGCAAACGUUAAAUCUUAAAGUUUAGCGUCUCUGACAGUCUGUGGCAAGACAUAAACUGUAAAGAGCUUGG
ensembl:lincRNA